rnacentral:rRNA from 1 species
AUGGGAACGUGCUUUUUAAUAUCACAAGCGGGAAAAAGAGUAAAGAAUUGUGAUGCAUGUUUACCAUGCAACUAUUUUUUAAUUCUUUAUCAGUUGGGCAAGUGGCGCGCUUUUCCCGAAGGAAGGUUCUCUGCUGACCGUGUCUCAUCUGUAAAAAGGGGUGUAUUUGUGAUGAUAGUUGUUUUCUUGGCUUAUUCUUUUCUUCAAGAACCUUCAACAUCAUUCGGUGGUGGUGACCCAUAUGAUGGCGAUUUGCUCCGGCCAUUCCAAUUCUGGCGGUGGUGCUGCUCCUAUGAUGGUAGACAUGUCUGCCUCCCCUAG